rnacentral:rRNA from 1 species
GCCUAACCGUAAAAUAUUAACUCACACCUACCAACGCCCGGGUACUACGAGCCCCAGCUUAAAACCCAAAGGACUUGACGGUGUCCCACCCACCUAGAGGAGCCUGUUCUAUAAUCGAUGAUCCCCGCUAAACCCAACCCCCCCCUUGCCAAUCAGCCUGUAUACCUCCGUCGUAAGCUUACCAUAUGAAUGCCCUAAGUAAGUCUAACGGCUACAAACACCAAUACGUCAGGUCAAGGUGCAGUCUAUGGGGCGGUAAGCAAUGGGCUACAAUUUCUAAUUUAGAACAAACGAAACACUGUAUGAAACUCAGUUGUAAGGCGGAUUUAGUAGUAAAAAGAAAGUAGCGUGUUCUUUUUAACUAGGCCCUGGGACGUGUACACACCGCC